rnacentral:rRNA from 1 species
UACGUAGGCAGCGAGCGUUGUCCGGAAUUACUGGGCGUAAAGCGUGCGCAGGCGGUUAUGUAAGACAGGUGUGAAAUCCCCGGGCUUAACCUGGGAACUGCAUUUGUGACUGCAUAGCUAGAGUACGGUAGAGGGGGAUGGAAUUCCGCGUGUAGCAGUGAAAUGCGUAGAUAUGCGGAGGAACACCGAUGGCGAAGGCAAUCCCCUGGACCUGUACUGACGCUCAUGCACGAAAGCG